rnacentral:rRNA from 1 species
GUUUUUUCGGCCAGGGAUGUGCUCGCGGCCUAUCAGCUUGUUGGUGGGGUAAUGGCCUACCAAGGCUUCGACGGGUAGCCGGCCUGAGAGGGUGACCGGCCACACUGGGACUGAGACACGGCCCAGACUCCUACGGGAGGCAGCAGUGGGGAAUAUUGGACAAUGGGCGGAAGCCUGAUCCAGCAACGCCGCGUGAGGGAUGACGGCCUUCGGGUUGUAAACCUCUUUCAGUACCGACGAAGCGCCGAUGAUGGUGGUGACGGUAGGUACAGAAGAAGCACCGGCCAACUACGUG